GAAGGUGAUGAUUGUUAUUUGUCGCCCCAGUCUUAGUUGCGUUCAUGGAUGCAACAUGGUGAUUGACAUGUCAUUUCUGAUUC
rfam:Ipomoea nil DNA, scaffold: scaffold0188, cultivar: Tokyo-kokei standard.